rnacentral:rRNA from 1 species
UACGUAGGGGGCAAGCGUUGUCCGGAUUUAUUGGGCGUAAAGAGCGUGUAGGCGGCUUUACAGGUCCGUUGUGAAAACUCGAGGCUCAACCUCGAGACGCCGGUGGAAACCGUAAAGCUAGAGUCCGGAAGAGGAGAGUGGAAUUCCUGGUGUAGCGGUGAAAUGCGCAGAUAUCAGGAAGAACACCCGUGGCGAAGGCGGCUCACUGGCCCGAUACUGACGCUGAGGCACGAAAGCGUGGGGAGCAAACAGG